rnacentral:ncRNA from 1 species
GUUUGACAUCAGCUCAGAAUCUUUUUAGGUUUGUAAGUGCGUUUUUAGCCUAAUAAAGACUUGCAGAGGUGAGCGGAUGUAUCAAGUCAGUAUUUUUAUCCUACUAGACAAAUGUGGCACCGAUUCGUCCAACGAAGGACGGAAUGCUUGGCUAGCACCAAUGCGGUUUUAAACAGAUGGUCGAUCUUGCAGUCGCAGCCAAACCUCUUAUUUUUACAGCUAUACCCAUUUAAAGAAACAAUGACUAAGGGGCAUUCAUAUCCUUGCGCGAGAAGUGAAAUUCGUGUAUUGCUGGAGAUGCUCUAAAGCGAAAGCAUUUGCUAAGAAUGUCUUCAUUAAUCAA